UCACUUCAGCAGUACACAUACUAAAGUUAAUGUGAUACAAAGAAGAUUAUCAAGGUUUGUACUCAAGGAUGAUAUGCAAAUUUAUGAAAUGUUUCAUAUUUGG